rfam:Felis catus isolate Cinnamon breed Abyssinian chromosome C1, whole genome shotgun sequence.
GCCUGGGCAGCUCAGUCGGUUAAGCAUCUGACUUCAGCUCAGGUCAUGAUCUCAUGAUUUGUGGGUUCGAGCCCUGUUCUGGGCU